rnacentral:rRNA from 1 species
UGGGGAAUUUGGAUCAAUGGGGAACCGAUCGAUCAGCCAUCCCGCCGUGGUGCGAUGAAGGCCUUCGGUUGUAAGCACUUUUGGCAGGAAAGAAAACGUCGCGGGUUAAGUACCCGCCGAACGAUGACGGUACCUGCAGAAUAAGCACCGGCUAACUACGUGCCAGCAGCCGCGGUAAUACGUAGGGUGCAAGCGUUAAUCGGAAUUACUGGGCGUAAAGCGUGCGCAGGCGGUUCGGAAAGAAAGAUGUGAAAUCCCCAGAGCUUAACUUUGGAACUGCAUUUUUAACUACCGGGCUAGGAGUGUGUCAGAGGGAGGUGGAAUUCCGCGUGUAGCAGUGAAAUGCGUAGAUAUGCGGAGGAACACCGAUGGCGAAGGCAGCCUCCUGGGAUAACACUGACGCCUCAUGCACGAAAAGCGUGGGGAGCAAACAGGAUUAGAUACCCCUGGUAGUCCACGCCCUAAACGAUGUCAACUAGGCUGUUGGGGCCCUUCGGGCCUUGGUAGCGCAGCUAACGCGUGAAGUUGACCGCCU